AGAGUUUGAUCCUGGCUCAGAUUGAACGCUGGCGGCAGGCUUAACACAUGCAAGUCGAGCGGGGGAGGUUGCUUCGGUAACUGACCUAGCGGCGGACGGGUGAGUAAUACUUAGGAAUCUGCCUAUUAAUGGGGGACAACAUCUCGAAAGGGAUGCUAAUACCGCAUACGCCCUACGGGGGAAAGCAGGGGAUCACUUGUGACCUUGCGUUAAUAGAUGAGCCUAAGUCGGAUUAGCUAGUUGGUGGGGUAAAGGCCUACCAAGGCGACGAUCUGUAGCGGGUCUGAGAGGAUGAUCCGCCACACUGGGACUGAGACACGGCCCAGACUCCUACGGGAGGCAGCAGUGGGGAAUAUUGGACAAUGGGGGGAACCCUGAUCCAGCCAUGCCGCGUGUGUGAAGAAGGCCUUAUGGUUGUAAAGCACUUUAAGCGAGGAGGAGGCUCUCUUGGUUAAUACCCAAGAAGAGUGGACGUUACUCGCAGAAUAAGCACCGGCUAACUCUGUGCCAGCAGCCGCGGUAAUACAGAGGGUGCGAGCGUUAAUCGGAUUUACUGGGCGUAAAGCGUGCGUAGGCGGCUUUUUAAGUCGGAUGUGAAAUCCCCGAGCUUAACUUGGGAAUUGCAUUCGAUACUGGGAAGCUAGAGUAUGGGAGAGGAUGGUAGAAUUCCAGGUGUAGCGGUGAAAUGCGUAGAGAUCUGGAGGAAUACCGAUGGCGAAGGCAGCCAUCUGGCCUAUACUGACGCUGAGGUACGAAAGCAUGGGGAGCAAACAGGAUUAGAUACCCUGGUAGUCC
rnacentral:rRNA from 1 species